CGCGGGGUAGAGCAGUUGGUAGCUCGUCGGGCUCAUAACCCGGAGGCCACAGGUUCAAGUCCUGUCCCCGCAA
rfam:Clostridium aceticum strain DSM 1496, complete genome.